rfam:Listeria aquatica FSL S10-1188 c5, whole genome shotgun sequence.
ACGUUCGGAUAAUCGCUGCUUUAUUAGCAGAGGAAAGUCCAUGCUCGCACGAGCUGAGAUGCUCGUAGUGAUCGUGCCUGGUGAAACAAUAAGCCAGGGCAUUCCGCGGAUGCGGUUUGACGGCAGGUGAAUGGCCUAAGUCUUCGGAUAUGGCCUUAUAUCCUUGAAAGUGCCACAGUGACGAAGUUCUUUUAGAAAUAAAAGAAGUGGAACGAGGUAAACCCCACGAGCGAGAAACUCAAACUAUGGUAGGGGCACUUUUCCCAAGGAAUUUGAACAAGGGAAGAGGCACGGCAAUUUUGCCGGUGCAGAUAGAUGAUUAUCCCUUUGCGGUUGGCCUGCAGAUCCGCAGAGGACAGAACAUGGCUUAUAGAA